rnacentral:piRNA from 1 species
UGAGUUCCUGCGGGUAGCCUGAGGAUAU